UGGGGAAUAUUGGACAAUGGGCGAAAGCCUGAUCCAGCCAUGCCGCGUGUGUGAGGAAGGCCUUUUGGUUGUAAAGCACUUUAAGUGGGGAGGAAAAGCUUAUGGUUAAUACCCAUAAGCCCUGACGUUACCCACAGAAUAAGCACCGGCUAACUCUGUGCCAGCAGCCGCGGUAAUACAGAGGGUGCAAGCGUUAAUCGGAAUUACUGGGCGUAAAGCGCGCGUAGGUGGUUAUUUAAGUCAGAUGUGAAAGCCCCGGGCUUAACCUGGGAACUGCAUCUGAUACUGGAUAACUAGAGUAGGUGAGAGGGGAGUAGAAUUCCAGGUGUAGCGGUGAAAUGCGUAGAGAUCUGGAGGAAUACCGAUGGCGAAGGCAGCUCCCUGGCAUCAUACUGACACUGAGGUGCGAAAGCGUGGGUAGCAAACAGGAUUAGAUACCCUGGUAGUCCACGCCGUAAACGAUGUCUACCAGUCGUUGGGUCUUUUAAAGACUUAGUGACGCAGUUAACGCAAUAAGUAGACCGCCUGGGGAGUACGGCCGCAAGGUUA
rnacentral:rRNA from 1 species